AACGAACGUUAGCGGCGCGCCUAACACAUGCAAGUCGCACGAGAAAGGGCUUCGGCCCCGGUAAAGUGGCGCACGGGUGAGUAACACGUGGGUAACCUGCCCUCGAGCGGGGGAUAACAUUCCGAAAGGAGUGCUAAUACCGCAUAAGACCACGACCUCGAAAGCGGUUGAGGUAAAAGCUGGCCUCUAUACAUAAGCUAGCACUUGAGGAUGGGCCCGCGGCGCAUCAGGUAGUUGGUGAGGUAAUGGCUCACCAAGCCGAAGACGCGUAGCUGGUCUGAGAGGAUGAUCAGCCACACUGGAACUGAGACACGGUCCAGACUCCUACGGGAGGCAGCAGUGGGGAAUCUUGCGCAAUGGGCGAAAGCCUGACGCAGCGACGCCGCGUGAGUGAUGAAGGCCUUCGGGUUGUAAAGCUCUGUGGGGCGAGACGAAUAAGUGCAGCCUAAUACGUUGCAUGAUGACGGUAUCGCCUUAGCAAGCACCGGCUAACUCUGUGCCAGCCGCCGCUGUAACAC
rnacentral:rRNA from 1 species